GGGUGCGAUCAUACCAACGUUAAUGCACCGGAUCCCAUUAGAACUCCGCAGUUAAGCACGCUUGGGCUAGAGUAGUACUGGGAUUGGUGACUUCCCGGGAAGUCCUAUUGUUGCACCCU
rfam:Picea glauca, whole genome shotgun sequence.